rnacentral:rRNA from 1 species
UGGAAAUGGGGGCAGCCUAUAAUGCAAGUCGAGCGAAUGGAUUAAGAGCUUGCUCUUAUGAAGUUAGCGGCGGACGGGUGAGUAACACGUGGGUAACCUGCCCAUAAGACUGGGAUAACUCCGGGAAACCGGGGCUAAUACCGGAUAACAUUUUGAACCGCAUGGUUCGAAAUUGAAAGGCGGCUUCGGCUGUCACUUAUGGAUGGACCCGCGUCGCAUUAGCUAGUUGGUGAGGUAACGGCUCACCAAGGCAACGAUGCGUAGCCGACCUGAGAGGGUGAUCGGCCACACUGGGACUGAGACACGGCCCAGACUCCUACGGGAGGCAGCAGUAGGGAAUCUUCCGCAAUGGACGAAAGUCUGACGGAGCAACGCCGCGUGAGUGAUGAAGGCUUUCGGGUCGUAAAACUCUGUUGUUAGGGAAGAACAAGUGCUAGUUGAAUAAGCUGGCACCUUGACGGUACCUAACCAGAAAGCCACGGCUAACUACGUGCCAGCAGCCGCGGUAAUACGUAGGUGGCAAGCGUUAUCCGGAAUUAUUGGGCGUAAAGCGCGCGCAGGUGGUUUCUUAAGUCUGAUGUGAAAGCCCACGGCUCAACCGUGGAGGGUCAUUGGAAACUGGGAGACUUGAGUGCAGAAGAGGAAAGUGGAAUUCCAUGUGUAGCGGUGAAAU